ensembl:lncRNA
GUGAUCCUUUUUUAAAACCAAAUUAAUACUACAGACACCACAUGGCUGUUGCAAUCCCAAUAACCCAGUUAAAUGAUAACUUCUGGAUUUUUCAAAAUUGACCUUUAAUUCCUAACAUGGACAAAUAUUUUUGAAAUUGGUCCAUUGUUGAGCAAGACUUCUUAAGCCACUGCAGUCAUGAUGCACGAAGCAAUAUAACCCUACCCUAUGUGACCCUGUACAUUCUCUUAAAGUGCUUGUUGGUUGUUAUAAUAAGUGUCUGACAUUGCGGAAAGGAUCCCUACAGAGAAAUACAGCUGAAAUAUUGCUCGGGUUGAGUUCAAGCAGGAAGAGAAAAGUAGAACUUGAGGGAGAUGGAGACAGGAGUGCAGGCAAGUGCAGGAGUUUUUUGCGUUGGAAUACAGAAAGUGUAAUUUAUUGAUUUCUCAAAAAUAUAGAUGAAGGAAAGUUGAGAUUGUAAUGACAGUGAAACAAUAGGGACAGUUCCUGCAAUACGAUUACAGAGUGAAACGUCUUGAUCAAGACUUGACAAGACACAAUAACAAACAGAUCAGAUCAAGCGUAUUUCUCAGGAAGGAUCCUUUCCACAAUGAUAGAAUAUAAUCUCAGUCAGUUGCAAAAACAGCCACUCUUGCACAGGCGUUCAAUAAUGGACCAAAUUUAAAAUGUAAUGUCUGCAUUAGUCACUUAGACCAAAAAUUAAAGUUGCAAAAAAUAGAGUCCAGGUUGAAAAAUCCGGAAGUUAUCCCUUCAGGCUUCAAAAUAGGGUUAGGGAUAGGGUUAGAGUUAGGCUAAACCAUACAAUAAUCGUUGCUACAUACCAAUAAUAAUAAGCGUGUAUAAUAAAGUAUACUUUACAUAAGGCCAAAAUCUGGUUAGACACAUCACUUUAUCAGAUCGCUGACGUUUUAUUAACUGGGCAAAGUAAUCUCUGAGAUAGGUUGCGCAUGCUGGAACAUAUUCAGUCAACAUUAGCAAAAAGCAUGCUGCCUCAGGCAUCAAUUGAUGUUACUGUCAUACCAUGUCGCUAAUCACACUGACUAAUGAAGGUUGGAUUCCAGGUCGUCUGCAUUUCGGAACACCAGCCUAAAACCUUCGCCUAUUGGACUGGCAGCCACGGGAAGGAGGUCUGAACAUUGGCCGGCGUCACACCUCAAAGCUGAUCUCCCUUGACCGUCCGAACAGGGGCUCCGAUGCCAGCAGUUUGCUGUGUUUUUUCCACCUCCUGGGUCUGCCACUCCUCCUGUCUGUCUCACUUCACACCUGGACCUAUUCUGCAAUCAUGCUCACCUGGUCUUCAUCUCCAAUCAACUCCCCUUCAUAAACCCUUGGAUUCCCUGCUGUCGGUGCCAGAUCGUACUACGCACUACUGUGUUAUCCGGAUCCCUCACUCCAGUUCGCCUGCUUCGCUCCUUCCCCGGCAACCUCAUCCAAUACCCGCCUCCUCGCCUCGUUCAAUAAACCCUUUUUCCUUCAACUCAACUUCGUCUCCGUCUGCUCUUGGGUUCAGCAUCGUUUAACCAUAACACUACGUUUACAUUUUUUACUUUUUUUGUAUGUUUCAAGUGUAGGCCUAUAUGUUUGACAACAAACCUUCUCCAAUAUUUCCCUCAAGAAUACAAACUCUUUCGUUCAAUGUUGUGGGAAAUUUGAAACGUGGAGAAAAAUAAUCUGCCAACUAGGCCGACUUGAAAACUUUAAAAUGUUUGAAACUUUUUCACAACAG